ensembl:processed_transcript F730043M19Rik RIKEN cDNA F730043M19 gene
CUUGUUUUGAACAAAGGAAAAAGAAAAAAGAAACGGCAGUACAUAAUUUUUCCUAAGGCUGGAGAUGAGGCUGUCAGCCGAGAGCUCCUGCCUGCAGAAGACCGUGGGCUGGAAUCCCGGCACUGCAUGGACCAGAUUUGGGGGCACAUGAAGGUCAAGGUCAUCCUCAACCACACAUGAGACCCUGUCUCAAAGAGGAAAUGUUGACAUUAGGGCUGUGCUGAUCCAGGGUCCGUGGUAAUUUGUUACAGUAGCCCCAGGGCUCUCCUUGCAGAUGAAGUAGAAGCCUGGGUCUAAAGAUACUUUGGCAAUGCUUUCCAGGGAGUGUUCCAGGGUGAAUGGACUAGGAAAGAGAAGGCCUUUCAGAUCGGCCAUCCCG